rnacentral:misc_RNA from 1 species
UCUUUUUAUUUAUUUAUUUAUUUAGGUUUGUCUUUUGUAGUUCCUUUCGACCUCAUGACUUGGCCUAUUUCUUACUUUUCAAAGCUGGCAAUAAAAUAUUCAUUAUUCCAUCAUUCUUGAGGAUACCACCAUAUGGCCUUCCUCAAUAUAGAUCACAUGCUUUACUAAUAUAAUAGAAAUUCAAAGUUCUGCACCCACCAACAACUGAAGAUUUCUUAUUUAAAAUCCUUGUAAUUGAUAUUGUUCAAUGCUUUACUAAUAUGAGUUAAGGCUCUAAUUAUUUACUUAAAUAAUUUUUCAAUGCUGCAAAAGGAUAUAAGUUAAAUAAUUUUAUUUACAGUCAAUACUGGCCAUAUGUUCAUCCUUAGUUGUAGACAACUGGUCUAGAAUAAUGAAAUUUUACCAUCAAUUCACUAGAUUCUCCAGAUGAUACUCUCAAGUUUGACUGGAACCGUUAAGGCACAUGUUGCUCUAGUUAUGCAACAUAAAAUCACAGUUACAUCUACACAUUCCUGAAGGGAAAAGGAUGAAAGGGCUCAAUGCAAAUGCUAGGCAUAGGCUACAUUGCCCUCAUUCUCAUCUAUUGCAUUUGUGGGUCCAUGUUGACCUUUGAUUUGCUACUAUCAUCUUACCAGGGACAUUCUUAUGCUUGCAACCCUAGUCAACAAAGACCAUGUCAUUCUAGGAACCAAUAUGAGUUUUCAAAUGGGCCUAUGAAUUGUCCCCUUUAAUUCCUUGUGCAUGAGGUUAUUGAUCAAUCUCACCCAAGUGGAUUAUUAAGUCAUUAUCAUCUUCCCUUAGUUAAUAAGAAUGUGAGUGCAGAGAGGAGCAAAUUGGAAUUUUCAUGUACUACCACAUUCAUCUUUGAUGUAAUUUGUGAAGGAUAAAUUUUCUGCUCCUUUCUCAUGUUGGUCAUAAAUGCUAACAUGGAUUUGUAUCUUUGACUGUGCUCUAUUCAGAGUUUUGUUUUACCUCCCUGAUAUUGUUUCUAUAGAAAUAUGAACUGAGAAUCCUUAAUAAAAUAGUGCACUAUUGUAAAUAUUGAAAUAGUGAGAACUGCAAUUUUUUUUUUUUUUGCUGUCACUAUAUUUGAUUCUUGGUCAAGUUCUUUGAAUUGUGAAUUAUAUGAUUGGUUUCAUAUUGUUGAUUGGUAGUUCUUGUAUUCAGGUUGCGGGCAUGAGCUUUGCG